rnacentral:rRNA from 1 species
UACGUAGGGUGCAAGCGUUGUCCGGAAUUAUUGGGCGUAAAGAGCUCGUAGGCGGUCUGUCGCGUCGGCUGUGAAAACUCGGGGCUUAACCCUGAGCCUGCAGUGGAUACGGGCAGACUAGAGGUAGGUAGGGGAGAAUGGAAUUCCCGGUGUAGCGGUGAAAUGCGCAGAUAUCGGGAGGAACACCGGUGGCGAAGGCGGUUCUCUGGGCCUUACCUGACGCUGAGGAGCGAAAGCGUGGGGAGCGAACAGG